rnacentral:rRNA from 1 species
CAAUAGCGUAUAUUAAAGUUGUUGCAGUUAAAAAGCUCGUAGUUGGAUUUCGGGGCAGCCUGGCUGGUCCGCCGCAUGGCGAGUACUGGUCAGCCGCCCUUCCUCUCGAAAGCCCCGACUGCUCUUCGUUGCAGUGGUCGGGUAGUUCGGGACGUUUACUUUGAAAAAAUUAGAGUGUUCAAGGCAGGCCUACGCCUGAAUACAUUAGCAUGGAAUAAUGGAAGAGGACCUCGGUCCUAUUUUGUUGGUUUCCAGGGCCGAAGUAAUGAUUAAGAGGGACAGUUGGGGGCAUUCGUAUUUAAUUGUCAGAGGUGAAAUUCUCGGAUUUAUGAAAGACGAACAACUGCGAAAGCAUUUGCCAAGGGUGUUUUCAUUAA